rfam:Otolemur garnettii contig080894, whole genome shotgun sequence.
UAACAAGUUUUUCUUGAAACUACAUUUAUUCAAUUAAAAGGAUUAU